GAUGAACGCUGGCGGCGUGCCUAAUACAUGCAAGUCGAGCGAACGGACCAGAAGCUUGCUUCUCUGAUGUUAGCGGCGGACGGGUGAGUAACACGUGGAUAACAUACCUAUCAGACUGGGAUAACUUCGGGAAACCGGAGCUAAUACCGGAUAAUAUUUUGAACCGCAUGGUUCAAAAGUGAAAGACGGUCUUGCUGUCACUUAUAGCUGGAACCGCGCUGCAUUAGCUAGUUGGUAAGGUAGCGGCUUACCAAGGCGACGAUGCAUAGGCGACCUGAGAGGGUGAUCGGCAGCACGUGCACAGGGACACGGUCCAGACUUCUACGGGAGGCAGCAGUAAGGAAUCUACCGCAGUGGGCAAAAGGGAGACGGAGCAACGCCGCGUGAGUGAGGAAAAUCAUCGGAGCGUAAGUCUCGGUUAUUAGUGAAGAGCAUAUGUGUAAGUAACGGUACACAUCUUGACGGUACCUAAUCAGAAAGCCAGGGCUAACUCGGG
rnacentral:rRNA from 1 species